AUUGAACGCUGGCGGCAGGCCUAACACAUUCAAGUCGAUCGAGUGGCGGUCGGGUGUGUAAUGUCUGGGAAACUGCCUGAUGGAGGGGGAUAACUACUGGAAACGGUAGCUAAUACCGCAUACCAUCAGAUGUGCCCAGAUGGGAUUAGCUUGUUGGUGGGGUAACGGCUCACCAAGGCGACGAUCCCUAGCUGGUCUGAGAGGAUGACCAGCCACACUGGAACUGAGACACGGUCCAUACUCCUACGGGAGGCAGCAGUGGGGAAUAUUGCACAAUUGGCGCAAGCCUGAUGCAGCCAUGCCGCGUGUAUGAAGAAGGCCUUCGGGUUGUCAAGUACUUUCAGCGGGGAGGCGUUACCCGCAGAAGAAGCACAGGCUAACUCCGUGCCAGCAGCCGCGGUAAUAC
rnacentral:rRNA from 1 species